AAUGGCUGAAGAAGACAAUAUGCCCCUCCCGUUUGCGCACACGUGAUGAACAAGGGGCCUCUUGAAGUGCUCCGUAACGAACGACGGCGUUUUACAGUAUCUGUGUCCUCAAACACUUCGACCGUUCGUCAGGCGCCUAGAUGCUGGGCGCCACAUGACGAAGACUAUGUUGCAAACCAUAUGAUAAAUUUCACCACAGCUGGUCAAGAAGUUGGACUGGUGUGAGUGACGUGCAAGCCGUCUACGAAGACGGGCAACGUUUUCCGUGCUGUCGGCGUGGUAUACGAAAGCUGCGGGCGAGAUCAUCGGAGCUUAUUGCCAGUGCAUAGCCGGCGCAGCGAUACAUGCCAGCACGUUGCAGGGUUGCUUCUGAGCUUUGCUGACCUGGCGACUACUGAAGAGAACAAACAGCCUUCAUGCACGCACUUGCCAUGCUAAUGGAUUGUACCGCCGGAAGCAAAGAGGCCAAUGCCAAAGGUGCCGCUGAAGGGGAUCGUGUUUCUGAAUCAUCCAAUAAACGGAGCACUCCAUCAAAAAAGGAAGUUCAAGCCGUGCAGUUCCGCUUCACCAAGACGACAUCACAUCAUUAAAGGAGAACCUGUUGGCCUGCUACCCAGCACUUCAAGUACUGCGGUACAUGAAACUAGCAGAUGAGAAGCCACAAGGAGUUCAAGAACCACCAUCCGAGGUCUUGAUUCAAGACAAUAAAAACCUAUGGGGCAUCAGCACAUUGGCAUCGUUUAAUGCACACACGGCAUCAAUGAAGCCCCUUUGUCAAGAGGAGAGGGAUGCAAUAUAUGUAAAAACUACUCCAUUUUAUGAAUCAUGCACUUGUGCCAGAGCUCCUCAUAGGGUGUGUAAAGCUACUAGGGAAGCUUCACACUUCAUGUAUGUAUCGCACAAGAUGCUGAAGAAACGAUUUUAUGUGUGCGAACCUCAAUACAUGUUACGAAUAAAAGUGAGAAAACUAAAGUUGUCUCCAAAAGAGGUCUG